UACGGGGGGGGCAAGCGUUGUUCGGAAUUACUGGGUGUAAAGGGCUCGUAGGCGGCCAACUAAGUCAGACGUGAAAUCCCUCGGCUUAACCGGGGAACUGCGUCUGAUACUGGAUGGCUUGAGUUCGGGAGAGGGAUGCGGAAUUCCAGGUGUAGCGGUGAAAUGCGUAGAUAUCUGGAGGAACACCGGUGGCGAAGGCGGCAUCCUGGACCGAUACUGACGCUGAGGCGCGAAAGCUAGGGGAGCAAACGGG
rnacentral:rRNA from 1 species